UAGGGAAUUUUCCGCAAUGGGGGAAACCCUGACGGAGCAACGCCGCGUGAGGGAAGAAGGCCUUCGGGUCGUAAACCUUUGUCAUCGAGGACGAUAAUGACGGUACUCGAGGAGGAAGCCCCGGCUAACUACGUGCCAGCAGCCGCGGUAAUACGUAGGGGGCGAGCGUUGUCCGGAAUUACUGGGCGUAAAGGGCGCGUAGGCGGCUUAAUAAGUCUGAUGUGAAAAUCCUGGGCUUAACCCAGGGCUUGCAUUAGAAACUGUUGAGCUUGAGGACAGGAGAGGAAAGCGGAAUUCCCAGUGUAGCGGUGAAAUGCGUAGAUAUUGGGAAGAACACCAGUGGCGAAGGCGGCUUUCUGGACUGCACCUGACGCUGAGGCGCGAAAGCCAGGGGAGCGAACG
rnacentral:rRNA from 1 species